CACAACAUGGUUUAUGCUGGUUUUUCCAGUAGGGUAUAGCUGGUUUUGACACAGAAUCCAUCUGAAAUGAGGACUUUUCAUCUUCUCCUUCCUCAGUGAGGCCUCUUUGGAGAAAGUCCGGAUCUGAUUGUAGUUUUGAUUGUGUCUUCUGUCCUCUGGAGUCUGAAUUCCUCCUCACAGGUUCAGGUCGGUCAUGUGAAACACUUCUGGUCAUGUGCCUUCAAACCAGGAAGUGGAUGUUCCUGUCUGCUUGUGCUCACCUGUUGAACUCCAGGAUCCGUCUGCAAACAUUAACUGAAGGUAUCUGAAGAGAUCUGUUUCUGAACAGAUCUUACCUGAGGCGCAUUCGAUUUCCAAGCCGGCAGAUUUCAACCUUAAGCAUCAUGAAGAGAUGUUUCGACCUUCACACAUCGGACCGAAAAAGUUACGAGACAGGAGAGCCGAGCCGGAGGAGGAAGAGGAGCGUGAGAGCACAAGAGCGGACGUCCAGACUUAUUCUGAAGGGACUUUUAAAGGAAACGGCUUCGACAUUGAAAAGAACAUGGAGCUUCACGUUGACUGUUUUAAUUGCCGGAGUCUUGGAUGUGAGACAUCAUCAAAUUAAACCAAAUUUUAUGUAAAAAAUCCCAAAUAAAAGAACCUCCCCAAAAAAAAAAAAAAAACCGUCUGGAGAACUGAGAGAGAUUGAAAGCGCCCCCGAGCGCUGCCGCUGUGUGGAAUUACAAAGGAGGAUUAUCAAAGGCCUGGAAGAUGUCGUAACAUCCCCAGUGUGAUCAAUAAAAUGAUUCAUAAUGCUG